rnacentral:rRNA from 1 species
CAGCCGCCGCGGUAAUACAGAGGAUGCAAGCGUUAUCCGGAAUGAUUGGGCGUAAAGCGUCUGUAGGUGGCUUUUCAAGUCCGCCGUCAAAUCCCAGGGCUCAACCCUGGACAGGCGGUGGAAACUACCAAGCUGGAGUACGGUAGGGGCAGAGGGAAUUUCCGGUGGAGCGGUGAAAUGCGUAGAGAUUAGGAGGAACACCAGUGGCGAAGGCGGCUUUUUGGCCUGUAACUGACGCUGAGGCUCGAAAGCGUGGGGAGCGAACAGGAUUAGAUACCCGCGUAGUCCCUGUCUCUUAUAC